AUGUAGCACUGAUACCCUCCGGCUUCUCCGCGCCGCCCGCACCCACCUGACGCCCGCUCGCGACGUUUUGUCAGCC
rnacentral:sRNA from 1 species